GCACACGCAUAUGUGUCCAGGUGCCUACGCAGGUGCCUGACCCUGGGCAAGUCGCUCCGUCAUGCGGACCUCAGUUUUCUCAUCUGUCCGACGAAGCAGCAUAAUUCACCAGAGCCAAAAGGUGGAAGCAGCCCAACUGUCCAUCAAUGGAUGAAUGACUCAACAAAACGUGGCAUUUCCAUGCAAAUAGAAUAUUAUCCAGCCUCAAAAAGGAAGGAAAUUCUGAUCUCUGCUCCAACAUGGAUGGACCUUGAAGACAUUAUGCUAAAUGAAUCCUGGAUCAAGAAUCUGUCAUUCAGAUUAUUCCAGAGCCCCUGCCCCAGUUCUACUUAUGCCUCCUGGAUGCUGAGCUGACAGGCGUGGUGAGGCUCUGGCAAGCUUCUGCCUUCACACCCAUUCCCCCAAGCUCACUGUCUUACUUUGCUCUUGGGAAUCUUGUCUACAUUUUAACAAACAUCAGUUCACAUAGCAGAUUUGAAGCAAUGAGGGACAGGCUGGGGAGGGGAGAUGUUCUGGGAUGGGAGAUGCUUCUCAUUUACCCUGUGGGUACCUGCCUUUUGGCUGGUCCUGAAACUGUCAGUAUUCAUCGUUACCAUUCAUUGAGCAGCUAUUAUGUGUGGGGCUCUGUACUGUCCUCUGAGGGUAUUAUCCACAUUUUCCAGCUGGAGAAACUGAGAUUCUUGCCUAAAGUCACAGCUUUGGUGAGAUGCAAAACAGGGAUGGAAACCUAGAUUUGUCUGGCUUCAAAGCCUGUGCUCUUACCCAGCAUACUCAACCAUUUAUUGGUGGCCAAUGGUCAUGAGCAGUUACCAGGAUACCCUGUACUUAUUGCUGUGUUCCUGGACUGGUGCUAAGUGCUUUAACUGGAUUCCUACAUUCAAUUGGCCGCUGUUACACUCACAGCUUUGGUGGAGUUAGUCCUCAGAUCUGAGCUGCGUCUUCCCCAUGGGGCUGCAGCCCUCAGAAGGCCUCUUGCUGCCCAGGGCCACAGCGUGACUUCUGUGGGCACUUCGCCCUCAUGAGUCCUACCCCUGGAGAAAAAUAUUAAAAUUUAUACUUUAUGACUACAUUGGCAUAAAAACAAAUGUAAUUCCGGCUGGAUUCAUGAUUGUAUACUCAUUUGUAUUCUAUUCAUUUUUUCUUCUGAUUUUUGAAAGACAACUAAAAUAAAAACAUUUUUGAGGGCCCCUAGAAAUAUUGUGGCUUCUAGGCACUGCACUGUGCCUCAUGGAGAAGUACGCCCUGCGUGCUGGAAGUGAUGGGCAGUCCUAAGAGUCUUGUCCUGGGAACUCCUCUGGACCCAGCAACCUCUGCUGCCACCUGACCUAGAGCCCAACCCCACUCCUUCAGCCGAGCAGCCCUAAGCAUGAUUUUCUGGUCAGACUGCAUCAGCUCCCUCUUCUCCACCAGGACAGUAGGGAUCUACAGCCCAAGAACCAAAGACUUUGGACAUUUUGUUCUACUUGGGAAGUUUGUAAUGUUAUCUUCUGCUGUGGAGCAUAGUGCAAAGAAAUAGGGGGAAGAAAGGUGGGUUUCUUCUGUCUCCACCCCAAAGACCAAGGAUACUUUCUUCCCUGAGGGUUGCCUCUGCAUUGCAAGUUUUUUCUGACCCUUCACUACACAGAUGGACAACUCAGGUGGCCAGAGGACUUCAACUGAAUGGAAUUACACAAUGAUUUGUUGAACAUGUAUUGUGCACCAGGGAGUAUGUGAGGCUAUGUGGUAGGCAUGAGAUGAACAAUGGAAGAUUCUUGCCCCAUGGAAGGUGACCACUGGAAUUAGAAAUCCUAGCAUCACCUAAGGAAAGGCUCAGAUCUUCCCUGGUGGAGGUUGGGGAUCUUCCCGAAGGGACCUUUUGGACCCAGAGCUCUUGUAUCAUUGCCUCUUGGCAAGAGGUUUAGAGACUCCCUUCAUCAUGAAGUUUCACAGACUCCUUCAGCCUUUAUCUUUCCUGAGUUCUAUGGGGAAAAGCUAGGUUAGAUAUGUGGAGUGACUCACCGAGACCUGAGAAGGCAUCUGCAUGAGGCUGCGGGGGUGUCCUUAGAGAAAAGGGAAGCUGCAGUGUGGAGGCUGGGGGAUGCACAAGAUGAUCUCCAGAGUCUCUCAGCCUUCAGAAGCGCAGGCUCUCUGAGGCCACAUUCCUUCCUGGUCUGGCUCAGUGGAGGCUGUGUUUCCCCACUGUUGCUUUUUGCAUGGAUUUGUUCAGCAGUUGAAUGGGCAGAGAAGGAGGAGUCUCUCCCUUCCUGUUCUCACACAGCUCUGCUUCAUGGACACCCACACAGAUUCACUGGAGAGCAAAGCCUACCAGAGUCCCUGUCAGCAGCACUGUUUCUAGAAGCUUCCACAUGAGCAGACAGCAUGGAGUCCUGGGGGCUAAUGAAGCAGCAAUGUCAGCAUGAGCACAGGCAGGGAGAGGCAAGAGGAGCAGAGUAAAGGGGAACGUUCUCUUCAUUCUUCCACCUGCCUGUCCCCCAGCCGACACGUCCCUUCCGUUCCCUGCAAGGCCAUUUCCAGGGAGGCUUACGAAGACAGCAGAUGAUGGUGAUGGAAGGAGUCUGGGUGCUGAGCUGUGCCAUGGACCUGGAGAGAAACUGAGUCCGAGGGAUGUCAACAUGCCAAGUCCAUGGAAAUAUCAGUGGGCUGGAAUUCUAGCUGCCUGAAAGAAGACAUUCCUCACACAAGACCUCACAAUCAUAUCCAUGGAAUUAUAGCACUGGGCUCUCCAGAUGGUGCUACAGGAAGACCUCCAGAAAUUUGACAAUCCUCUAUUCAAGGCCCUACCACAGAGACACACAGGAACGGAACUCAGAAUCACAAACAAAGAAACUUUGAUCCAAGAAAGAAAAUGAUCUUUAAAAAGACCCUCGUUUCAUGCUGGCCGAUGCUGAGAAAAUCUGCUCUGAAGGAUAUUUGGAGACACUGAUUAAAAGAUGGUUGUCCCAGUGGAGGGGGAUUCUUCGUGUUACGUAGAUAGGAAGCACGAUGCAAAAGUGUUGAAGCAGGAGUGUAAAGAAUAAUUAAAACACCUGCCCAAGACCCAAGCAAGGAUAGGAUUUCCCAGACAUUCGUGAGGGAGAAAAUGCCAUGUCCUUUCCUUCUGGUGUCACAUCAGAAUCUGAAGGCUGCUAGAGAAGGGAGAGAAACAUGAAAGUGAGUCCCAUGCUGAUUGUUGUUGAAAUACCUGGAAAGAAACUGGCAAAGACUAUCCAAGGGAUGCUAAGACAUGUCCGAACUUACAAAACAGUAGAACCUGAAUAGGAAUUUGAAGUUGUCUAUACUCUCCUCAGCCACACCCUGCCAUUUUACAGAUUGUCUUCUCUGGGGAAGUUAGCUGUCAUGUUGUGAGGAUACUCAAGCAGUUUAUAAAGAGGUUCAUGUCGCAAGGAAUGGAGGCCUCCUGCCAACAGCCAUGUAAAGGAGCCAUCUAGGAAAUAGAUUCUCCAGCCCCAGUCAGACCUUCAGAUGAUUACAGCCCCUACCAACCUUCUGACUGCGGUGGAAGGAAGGUUCCGGAACCAGAACCACCCAGGUUAAUGUGGGUAAGUCUCAUCCAAUCCUUUGAAGGCCUGAAGAACAAAGAGUGAGGUUUCUGGAAGAAGAAAAUUUUACCUCAAGCCUGCAAUGUAGAAAUUCUGCUUGAGUUUCCCGCCUGCUGGCCUGCCCUGUGGAAUUCGGAGUCAAGAAGGAGUCUUGUAAGCAUUAACUGAGAUAGUAUAUGAAGAGUGCUUUUGCACCGAGUGAACCUUCAAUCAACUGUACUAGUUUGUAUGCCUGGAAGAGCUGCUAUAUGGGAUCAGAAAGAAAAAUAAGGUGCAUACGCCAGAAAAAAAAUACUUGCAUAUGAGUACUAGGAGAUGCAUGACAAUGUUCACGGCAGCAGUAUUCAUGGCAGUGAAAAAUGAAAAGAACUGAAAUGCCCAUUGAUAAAAACGUCUACUUAUUUGUGUCAUCUUUGCACAGUGGAAUUGUGCGAGUGGAAAUGAUUGAUCUACAGCUAGGAGAAGCAGCAGAGCUCAAUCUCAAAAACAUAACGUUGUGUGGAAAAAGCUAACCUCAGAACACUUUGCGGCUCUAUCUUAGCAAACCAGGAGAGAAAUUCUCCUGAUGGCCUUGAAGAAGCAAACAGCCACCUGGUUAAGCCCCUGUGGAUAGUGCCAAGUGGCAGGAAAGUGGGAGCCACCUCUAGGACCUGAGGAUUAAAGUCAGUAAGAGCUGGGACCUCACUCAUGCAGACUCGAGGACAUGAAUUCGACCAACAACUUGAAUGAGCUUGGAAGUGGAUUCUUCCCUAGUCCAGUCUUCAGAAAUUAAGAAUGUUCCCAAAGAAUGAUGGAGACAUUUCAAAAGGAUACGGAAGCCAGAUUGUGGGCGCUUCUACUGGCCAACUCUGGGACAUCGUGGACAUCAAAAUAAAUUUGUAAUAAUAAAGGAUUAUAGCCUAUUAGUUAAAUCAGAAAAAUCUGAUUUAACUAAAUGAGUAGGAGGAAAAGAAAGCUCUUCCUUAUAUUAGAAAGUCAAUUAAUAAAUGCAGAAAGGAAUGAAAAAAUUAGAAAAGCCACCAUUUGGCAACCAUGGCAGGCAGAAUGGGGAGUAUGCCUCCAGACAGUAAUUCCUUUCAAACUGGUUUAUAGGAACUCACUGAGCUUGCUGAUCGACCUCUGAGAGGCAAAGUUUCUGAAUUAUGAAGUACUGAUUAUAUAAACUUAGACAGAGACAUGCUUCAUUAUUUAAUAGGACUGUGUCAAAAGCCUACUAUUAGGAUGAUGUGUUGGGUGUGGAACAGGGUCUCUUCCUGCCAGGAACACUGGUGAUUUCACUCCGUGUUCAGGCUGAUCUUUGAAGUUGAAGACAAGCAGAAGAAUCCUUCUAAAAUUUAGCCAUGCCCAUAGGCUGGGAGGGACACUGCUCCAUUCAGAGGCAGCAAAGCACAUUACUGUAUCUCCUAUAGAGCUUUGAGCAGUCCAGUGUACAUGGAGAAACUUAGUAAAUGUUGUUGAAUUAGUGAAUGAACAAAUCAAUGGACCAAGUCAGGGGUAAGUCUUACAUUUGUCAUCUAGGUGAUUAAGAAAGGAAAAAGUAUCUGUUUCAAGAGGAUUACAAUCUAACUGUACUCCAAUAGUAAAAUUUACUCUUUUGGAAUCUGAAGACA
rnacentral:lncRNA from 1 species